rnacentral:rRNA from 1 species
GGCGCACGGGUGAGAAACGCGUAGGUGAUCUACCUUUGCGACCGGAAUAACCAAUCGAAAGAUUGGCUAAUACUGGAUAGAGCGGAUUGACUGUAAGGGUUGAUUCGGGAAAGGGCGGCGUAGCAAUACGCUGUCGCGCUGAGAUGAGCCUGCGUCCCAUCAGCUAGUUGGUAGGGUAACGGCCUACCAAGGCAACGACGGGUAGCUGGUCUGAGAGGACGAUCAGCCACACUGGAACUGAAACACGGUCCAGACUCCUACGGGAGGCAGCAGUGGGGAAUCUUGCGCAAUGGACGAAAGUCUGACGCAGCGACGCCGCGUGGGUGAAGAAGGCCUUCGGGUUGUAAAGCCCUGUCGAGAGGGAAAAACGGCAUUAGUCAUAAUACGGCUGAUGCGUGAUGGUACCUCUAGAGGAAGCACCGGCUAACUCCGUG